GUCUUUAGGCUAUCCAUGCUGUGGUAGACAAUUCAUUGUCUGCAAUUGCAUGUGGUUUCUGUUUGAGAUGUACAUGCUUAUGGGCUUCUAGUUGGCUCAUUUCAUACCCUAUUAGCAAUGCCAAUGUGACUUCUGACUUGCUCAUGUGUGCCAUCCAUGUCCUUAAGUGCUUGAAGAAGUCUGCCCAUGGGUUCAUGCAAUACAUCAGAUGUGAACAGUUCUGUAAUGUGCUUUUAUGUUUUCCUUUUAAGUGUGUGUGUGUGCCCGCGCGCGCGUGCUGUAGAUUGUGUGAUGCUUAAGAAAUAUUGUGAAUAUAGACAAUCUAGCGGGUAAUACUGGUAUUACUAAGAAAUUCCUUAGUUUUACCAUGUUGGUUUUAAUUUGUUCAAAUGAGAAUGUUAGGGGUUUGCAGUUGUUUUAUUGAUGCGUAUGACUGGUUGAAAUCCCUGUUAAUGGACAGU
rnacentral:misc_RNA from 1 species